CGGAGACGCCUUGCAGCUGCCCGGACUGGAUCUAUGUCGCAGCAGAGGAGACGGAAUUCUCUUGAGGCAUCUGAGCAGGUUUCCCCGUCAGGUAGGGAGAGGAAGUGUUUGUAUAGAGCCACACUCAGAUCCUAGAGGAAUCCAAAACAGCUUUGUCACUGCAGUUCUCAAUCAGUGAAUGGAAGAGAAAUCUGUAUCAUUCUCCCACUGAGAAUGCCACUUACCUCUGGCUGUAUAGGAUGUGAGGUUCCUAAACCAUAACCUAAAGAGGUUGUGCAAAAAUUUUCUACAGAGUAGGCUCUCAGUGCCCUCCAGGGGUCACAUGCUGUAAUGCAUCAUCCCCAUAUUUUCCUGACACUGAUGAUAGAUUGGGUUGUAUAGCUGAAAGUUACAGCCAAAUGGAUGCAGCAAAGGAACCUACAGCAGUAUUUCCCAGCUUAAGUAAUAUGCUGAUAAACUCACUCUUUUUCUGGGUAUCUCAAGACCCCAGGGCGGAAGAAAGGGGUCCAGAGGCAUAACCAGUGUCUCUUACCAGGAAAGUGAGGAAUACAGCAAGCACAAUCUUACAAAAACCUGCUUCUCAGACCCGCGGUGGGGGAAGUCUGGAUUCCAAAGUCCUCAUUCAGCCUUCACUAAAGCUUCAAUUUUACUGUCUUAGGAUUCACCACCUCCUUCUGAGACAUUCUGCUUCUAUAACCAUCAUUGCUAAAAGUCACUGCUAACAACCUUCUAGACAAGUCCAAUGAUUUGUGAUUUUUACCACAUUAGCACCUUUUUUACUCUUAAGUCACCAUCUCCUUUCUCUAACUUUGAAUUCUUUUUUUUUUUGAGACAAAGUCUGGUUCUGUCGGCCAGGCUGGAGUGCAAUGGCGUGAUCUCAGCAACCUCUGCCUCCCAGGUUCAAGCGAUUCUCCUGCCUCAGCCUCCUAAGUAGCUGGGAUUACAGGCAUGCAUCACCACACUCAGCUAAUUUUUGUAUUUUUAUUAGAGACAGGGUUUCACCAUGUUGGCCAGGCUGGUCUUUAACUGACCUCAAGUGAUCCACCUGCCUCGGCCUCCCAAAGUGCUGGGACUAUAGGAAUGAGCCACUGCACCUGGCCUCUUUGAUUUCUAUAACCAUUAUAACUAACUCAAAUUUGUGUUUUUCCACAUAGUAUUUUCAAGGCAUUUUUCUGUUUACUACUUUGUUUGCUUGGUGUAACAAGCAUGUGAGGAAAAUAUUUAUUUAUGCCUUUUCUGCAGGUGAAGAAAAUGCACAAUGGAAACCACCCAGAUGUCCAGUGAUAGUGGCAUGGACAAAUAAAUGUGGUAUAAUCAUGAAGAUAGAAUACUAAAUAGCAGUUAAAAAAUGAAGGCACCCAGCUUGGUGCACAACAUGGAUGAUUCUCACAAAUACAUAAUGUUGAGAAAAAAAGCAAGCCAUAACAGAAAAUAUAUGAAAAGCAUCCAUUUACAUGAAGCUCAAAAAUGGGUGAAAUUAAAGUACAUCAUUCAGGGAAGAAAAACAGUACACUAUAAAGAAAAGCAAGGAAACAACAGAAGGCUAGUUGUUACCUCUGGGUAGAGAUAGAGGUUUAUGAACAGGAAAAGGCAUAUAGGGGAAGUUGUGGGGUGCUGAAAAUGUUUAUUAUUUAUUUAUUUAUUUAUUUUUGAGACAGGAUCUUACUCUGUUUCCCAGGCUGGAGUACAGUGGUGUGAUCACUGCAACCUUGACUUCCCAGGCUCCAGAGAUCCUCCUACUUCAGCCUUAUGAGUAGCUGGAACCACAGGUGCACACCACCAUGCCCAGCUAAUUUUUGUAUUUUUGGUAGGGAUGAGAUUUUGCCAUGUUGCCCAGGCUGAUCUCAAACUCCCGAGCUCAAGCAAUCCACCAGCGUCAGUCUCUGAAAAUGCUGGGAUUACAGCGUCAGCCACUGCACCCAGCAGUUUUUUGGGUUUUUUGUUGUUGUUUUAUUUGAGACAGGGUCUCACUUCGUCACCCAGGCUGGGGUAUGUGGCACAAUCAAGGCUCACUGCAGCCUCGACCUCCUGGGUUCAAGCGAUCCUCCUCCCUCAGCUCUCUAAGUAGCUGGGACUACAGAUGCCCACCACCACACCUGGCUAAUUUUUUUUAGAGAUGGGGUUUUGCCAUGUUGCCCAGGCUGGGAAAGGAGUUUUUAAAAUUGAAAAAAAAAAGCACCCAUAAAUUAUGGUACAUCUAUCCAAUGAAACAUUAGGAAGCUGCUAAAAAAAGAAUGUGGUGAUAUAAAUAAUCUCAGAAUUAAAAGCUACUAAUAGUGUGUUACCAUUUGUAAAACUAAAAGGGGGGUACUUAUAUGUACGUAAAUGCUGGUAUACACACAAGACUGAUACCUAAGAAAUUAUAAACAGUAGUGCCACUGUGUGGGGGAAAAGGAGGAUUUAGGGUUGGGAGUAGAGACUUACUUUUUAGUAUAUACCCCUUUGUAGUUUGAAUUUUUUUGUUUUAUCAAGCGCAAGCAUUUUUUUUCCCUUUCCUGACUACAAAGAUCCACAAGAAAAAGCAUUUUUUAAAAACUGCAAAACAGAAAGCUCCAUAAACGUACAGCCAGGUUUGGGAACCACUACCCUAGUUAGCUGCCAACUAUGUCUUUACCUCUCAUGUGUAUACUACUCUCAACUUUAAAAUCUCUGGUGGUUUCCUAAUGCCUUUCGUGAAAUCCCAAGCCUUAACCUCAGUCUCUCUUUUCCAUUGUUUUUACCCUCUGACUUCCCGUAUCAUCACAGCGGAGAAAUUUUGCAGGGGACACAGGACAUCAACCCAUCUCCUCAUUCCAGUCUUUGAGACUGUAUCCAAAUGUCCCCUUCCUACUAUCAUCUGAGUCCCACAAGGUCUGAAGUCGUCCCCCAAAGUCUCUUCUGUAAAAGGACAGCAACGUAACAGAAUUGUCCCCCGCCCUCCAGAUGCUGGACUGGAGUGAUGGAGGGAGCGCAGAGAGGGUACUAACUUUUGAAGCAUUUGCCGUGGUAAGUUCAGACUGCCUGCUAGUGUAGAAUAUCCCAGUGGCUACAAAUAGGUGUGGGAGAGACAUUUCCUUAUUUUGCAUGUGGUUUGAUUAUAAUCAUAUGCCUAAGAAUAGUUUGCAGCAAGAAGAGUGGCAGUGCCGCCCUUCUCCAUUCCCUUGGGCAAAAUGCUUUAUUUGCUUCUCGAUCCUCUCCACUGUACUCUGUCAACUCACUGUUUUGUUUUGUUUUUGAGACGGAGUCUCGCUCUGUCGCCCAGGCUGGAGUGCAGUGGCACUAGCUCGGCUCACUGCAAGCUCCGCCUCCCGGGUUCACGCCAUUCUCCUGCCUCAGCCUCCGGAGUAGCUGGACUACAGGCGCCCGCCACCACGACCGGCUAAUUUUUUGUAUUUUUAGUAGAGACGGGGUUUCACCGUGUUAGCCAGGAUGGUCUCGAUCUCGUGACCUUGUGAUCCACCCGCCUCGGCCUCCGAAAGUGCUGGGAUUACAGGCGUGAGCCAGCGCGCCCGGCCUACUCACUUUUUUUGAAAUAAACAUGCAGGUCCCAGGGUCUGUCCUGCACUGUAUAGCACACAUGAGUCUCAAUAUCAGGCAUGAUUCUGUCACCCUUGGCUCUUC
rnacentral:lncRNA from 1 species